AGAGUUUGAUCAUGGCUCAGGACGAACGCUGGCGGCGUGCCUAAUACAUGCAAGUCGAGCGGGAUCCUUCGGGGUCCAGCGGCGGACGGGUGAGUAACACGUGGGCAACCUGCCUGUAAGACCGGGAUAACUGCCGGAAACGGCGGCUAAGACCGGAUAGUAUACUUUGGGGCAUCCCGGGGUAUGGAAAUGCGGGGCAA
rnacentral:rRNA from 1 species